CUCGCCAGGGGACAACGAGCUUAAGCUUAAAACCCAAAGGACUUGGCGGUGCUUUAGACCCCCCUAGAGGAGCCUGUUCUAGAACCGAUACCCCCCGUUCAACCUUACCCCCUCUGGCCCUCAAGCCGCCUAUAUACCGCCGUCGUCAGCCUACCUCGUGAGAGUAAAACAGUAAGCAAAACUGGUAAAGCCUAAAACGUCAGGUCGAGGUGUAGCAAAUGAGGGGGCAAGAAAUGGGCUACAUUUGCUGCCCCAGCAAAAACGGACCACCCGAUGAAACACCUGUGCAAAGGAGGAUUUAGCAGUAAAAGGGAACUAGCACAUCCUUUUGAAAUUGGCCCUGAAGCGCGCACACACCGCCCGUCACUCUCCCCAACAAACAUAAAGCUAUCUAUAAUUACCAAAACCAACAAAGGGGAGGCAAGUCGUAACAUGGUAAGCAUACCGGAAGGUGUGCUUGGAAAAACC
rnacentral:rRNA from 1 species